rnacentral:rRNA from 1 species
GACAGAGGGGGCAAGCGUUGCUCGGAAUCACUGGGCGUAAAGGGCGCGUAGGCGGGAGCUCAAGUCGGUCGUGAAAUCUCCGGGCUCAACCCGGAGGAGUCGGCCGAAACUGGGUUUCUUGAGGGAGGCAGAGGAGUCUGGAAUUCCCGGUGUAGCGGUGAAAUGUGUAGAGAGUCGGGAGGAACACCGGUGGCGAAGGCGGGACUCUGGGCCUACCCUGACGCUGAGGCGCGAAGGCGUGGGGAGCAAACGGGG